GCCUUAACGAAAUCAAGGAUUAGGGUUUUGCUUAUCCCCUCUCGCCGCCUCCGCGGCGCUUGGUAAGAACCCUCCUCCAUUUGCGGAGACCGGUUGUUGCCCGAAGCCAUGAUCAUCCCGAAUAAGAACCGCCAUGAAAUCUGCAAAUACCUCUUCCAAGAGGGGGUGCUGUACGCGAAGAAGGACUAUAACCUCGCGAAGCACCCGGAGAUCGAUGUUCCGAACCUCCAGGUGAUCAAGCUCAUGCAGAGCUUCAAAUCGAGGGAGUAUGUGCGUGAGACCUUUGCCUGGCAGCACUACUACUGGUACCUUACGAAUGAUGGCAUUGAGUACCUGAGAACAUUUCUUAACCUGCCAUCGGAGAUUGUUCCUGCAACCCUGAAGAAGUCUUCAAGGCCACCACCGACCCGCCCAUUUGGCUCUGGUCCUCCUGGCGACCGCCCCAGGGGACCGCCCCGGUUUGAAGGAGAUAGGCCAAGGUUUGGAGACAGGGAUGGGUACCGAGGUGGCCCUCGCGCUGGGCCGCCUGGUGAAUUAGGGGACAAGGGUGGUGCACCUGCUGAGUUCCAACCAUCUUUCCGGGGUGCUGGUGGCAGGCCUGGAUUUGGCCGUGGAGGUGGAGGAUAUGGACCAGGUGCUGCAUCUGCUUCUUAUCAGUAGUUCUAAGGCAACUGUCCGUGUCAUAUCUCAUCAAGCCUCCAAUGUUCCAUAGCUAGGUCAAGAUUCAUAUUUCCCCAAGUGAUUGGUGGAUUAGAGUUUUGGACAAACUUUCCGUUUAAGGCUGCAUAUCACACAGACACUGCUUUUGAGGUUCUCAAAAUUAUUCUUCUUCCGUAUUCAUCAUCAGAGGUGGAAUAACAAGAGCCUUUUGGCUAUAUGCAUUUUGGCGAAUUUGCUCAUUGACAUGUUACAACUUGUUAGCUGUUGGUGUGGCGAAUGCUGAGAUGGAAGGUCGGCUCGAGCUCACAGUGGUUUACGGUCAAAAUCUUGUUGCAAUAUGAGAGCCCUUCUUGAGACGCGAAUCUCGAGUUGGAGUCAACAUGCUUUCUCGUGCAACAAGGCCCAUGUCGGGUGUAGAGUGAGAGUCUAAGAAAUGGGUGUGCUACUUGCAAGCAUUGAGGGAAAAUGUUCCCUGAGUUGAAAAAUAUUUGGGCAUUCUGAUUCUUGCAAGCAUUGAGGGAAAAUGUUUCCUGAAUUGAAAAAUAUUUGGGCA